rnacentral:misc_RNA from 1 species
UGCUCAAGGACACGGAAUCGGGAGACGUCACUUCGUCCCGCCUGCGUCUCGCGAAAUCACCCGCGUUGUUCGAUGCGACGCAUACCCGGGAGAAAUGGGAAAAACUCCGCGUCACCUCGUUCGUCCUUCCGCCAGUGACGAUGUUUUCCGGCAAAGUGGCGGCCAUCACCACGUUCAUCGAUCCCACCCAGCCCCCCGUGCUGGUGGCGGGGGAUUCGGCCAAUGAUUUCCCCGCGCUGUUCUAUUCCGCCGGUGCCCGCGUCUGGGUGCGGCACGACUACACCCCGCCGCACGCGCUGGAUGAGGUGCUGAAGAGCUAUCAUCGCGCGGCCGAUCCCAACCGCGGCUGGGUGCACGGCACUUGGGACGUGAAAAAGUGAUCGCCGCCACCGGCCGCGUCCGAUUUGUCCGGAGCUAGGUUUGCGUGUCGGCCAGAGGAUUCCACACCCGCUUGAAACCGAAAUCACGGAAGUCCUUUUCGUUCACCGUGGCGAAAUCGGUGACGCCCUGCUGGACCAGGGAAAGCGCGGAUCUCCAAUCGCAGGCGCGGCGACGGG